rnacentral:rRNA from 1 species
UGCCGGCGACCGGCGGACGGGUGCGUAACGCGUAUGUAACCUACCUUUGACAGGGGGAUAACAUCGAGAAAUUGGUACUAAUACCCCAUAACAUCACCGGAGGCAUCUUCGGUGGUUGAAAACUCAGGUGGUCAGAGAUGGACAUGCGUUGUAUUAGCUAGUUGGUGAGGUAACGGCUCACCAAGGCGACGAUACAUAGGGGGACUGAGAGGUCAACCCCCCACAUUGGUACUGAGACACGGACCAAACUCCUACGGAAGGCAGCAG